AUUGAACGCUGGCGGCAUGCCUUACACAUGCAAGUCGAGCGGUUGCAGGUCUCUUGCUCCUGGCUUCAGCGGCGGACGGGUGAGUUAUGCCUAAGCAUCUGCCUUGUAGUGGGGUAUAACGUCCGGAAACUGGCUCUAAUACCACAUACGUCCUGAAUGAGAAAGGGGGGGAUCUUCGGCCCUCGCGCUCUCAGCUGACCCUAGGUCGGUUUAGCUAGUUGGUGGGGUAAGGGCCUACCAAGGCGACGCUCCGUAACUGGUCUGAGAGGAUGAUCAGUCACACUGGAACUGAGACAAGGGCCAGACUCCUACGGGAGGCAGCAGUGGGGAAUAUUGGACAAUGGGCGAAAGCCUGAUCCAGCCAUGCCGCGUGUGUGAAGAAGGGCUUCGGAUUGUAAAGCACUUUAAGUUGGGAGGAAAGGAAGUAAGUUAAUACCUGGCUGUCAUGACGGUACCAAAAGAAUAAGCACCGGCUAACUACGUG
rnacentral:rRNA from 1 species